GAAUUUCCGGUGUAGCGGUGAAAUGCGUAGGAGAUCGGGAAGGAAACACCCAGUGGCGAAGGCGGCCUCCUGGACUGAACACUGACGCUGAGGUGCGAAAGCGUGGGGGAGCAAAACAGGAUUAGAUACCCUGGUAGUCCACGCUGUAAAACGAUGUCUACUAGCCGUCGGGGUCCUUAGUGACUUUGGUGGCGCAGCUAACGCGAUAAGUAGACCGCCUGGGGAGUACGGCCGCAAGGUUAAAACUCAAAUGAAUUGACGGGGGCCCGCACAAGCGGUGGAGCAUGUGGUUUAAUUCGAUGCAACGCGAAGAACCUUACCAGGUCUUGACAUCCUCGGAAUUUGGCAGAGAUGCCUUAGUGCCUUCGGGAGCCGAGUGACAGGUGCUGCAUGGCCGUCGUCAGCUCGUGUCGUGAGAUGUUGGGUUAAGUCCCGUAACGAGCGCAACCCUUGUCCUUAGUUGCCAGCACGUAAUGGUGGGAACUCUAGGGAGACUGCCGGUGACAAACCGGAGGAAGGUGGGGACGACGUCAGGUCAUCAUGGCCCUUACGACCUGGGCUACACACGUGCUACAAUGGCUGGUACAGAGGGUUGCGAAGUCGCGAGGCGAAGCUAAUCCCUUAAAGCCAGUCGUAGUCCGGAUCGGAGUCUGCAACUCGACUCCGUGAAGUCGGAAUCGCUAGUAAUCGCGGAUCAGAAUGCCGCGGUGAAUACGUUCCCGGGCCUUGUACACACCGCCCGUCACACCAUGGGAGUGG
rnacentral:rRNA from 1 species